UACGUAGGGGGCGAGCGUUGUCCGGAAUCAUUGGGCGUAAAGCGCGCGUAGGCGGCUCGAUAAGUCCGGUGUGAAACCUUGGGGCUCAACCCCAAGCCUGCACUGGAUACUGUCGAGCUAGAGUCCGGGAGGGGAGAGCGGAAUUCCUAGUGUAGCGGUGAAAUGCGCAGAUAUUAGGAAGAACACCGGUGGCGAAGGCGGCUCUCUGGAACGGUACUGACGCUGGGACGCGAAAGCGUGGGGAGCGAACAGG
rnacentral:rRNA from 1 species